AUUGAACGCUGGCGGCAGGCCUAACACAUGCAAGUCGAACGAGUGGCGGACGGGUGAGUAAUGUCUGGGAAACUGCCUGAUGGAGGGGGAUAACUACUGGAAACGGUAGCUAAUACCGCAUACCAUCGGAUGUGCCCAGAUGGGAUUAGCUAGUAUGUGGGGUAAGGUCUCACCUAGGCGACGAUCCCUAGCUGGUCUGAGAGGAUGCCCAGCCACACUGGAAUGGAGACAGGGUCCAGACUCCUACGGGAGGCAGCGGUGGGGAAUAUUGCACGAUGGGCGCAGGCCUGAUGCGGCCAUGCCGCGUGGAUGAAAGAGGCAUUCGGGUUUUAGAGUACUUUCAGCGGGGAGGCGUUACCAGCUGAAGAAGCACCGGCUAACUCCGUGCCAGCAGCCGCGGUAAUAC
rnacentral:rRNA from 1 species